rnacentral:rRNA from 1 species
UGGGGAAUAUUGCACAAUGGGCGCAAGCCUGAUGCAGCCAUGCCGCGUGUAUGAAGAAGGCCUUCGGGUUGUAAAGUACUUUCAGCGGGGAGGAAGGGAGUAAAGUUAAUACCUUUGCUCAUUGACGUUACCCGCAGAAGGAGCACCGGCUAACUCCGUGCCAGCAGCCGCGGUAAUACGGAGGGUGCAAGCGUUAAUCGGAAUUACUGGGCGUAAAGCGCACGCAGGCGGUUUGUUAAGUCAGAUGUGAAAUCCCCGGGCUCAACCUGGGAACUGCAUCUGAUACUGGCAAGCUUGAGUCUCGUAGAGGGGGGUAGAAUUCCAGGUGUAGCGGUGAAAUGCGUAGAGAUCUGGAGGAAUACCGGUGGCGAAGGCGGCCCCCUGGACGAAGACUGACGCUCAGGUGCGAAAGCGUGGGGAGCAAACAGG